GUAGUACUCCCUCCGUCCCAAAAUUCUUGUCUUAGAUUUGUCUAGAUACGGAUGUAUCUAACACUAAAACGUAACUAGAUACAUCCGCAUUUAGACAAAUCUAAGACAAGAAUUUUGGGACGGAGGGAGUACUAC
rnacentral:pre_miRNA from 1 species